rnacentral:misc_RNA from 1 species
AACGCACGCUAAAUCAAAUUCAUAUCAGUAUACUCUCUGUGCUCUAAUCACUUACUUCAAUGGCGGACUCCAAUUCCCCUAGUGCCCCCCAAACCCUUAUUGACGGCAACGUUCUCGCCGCCAAAUCUUUCGCAAGCUGCGGCGUCACCCACAUGUUUGGCGUUGUCGGCAUACCCGUCACGUCCCUCGCCAACCGUGCUGUCUCCCUUGGAAUCCGUUUUUUGGCCUUCCACAAUGAGCAGUCCGCUGGCUAUGCCGCCUCCGCCUACGGUUACCUCACUGGCCGACCUGGCUUGCUUCUUACUGUUUCCGGCCCCGGUUGUGUCCAUGGCCUUGCUGGAUUGUCUAAUGCUAUGGCCAAUACUUGGCCGAUGGUGAUGAUAUCCGGCUCCUGUGACCAAAAAGACGCCGGUCGGGGUGACUUUCAAGAGCUUGAUCAGAUAGAGGCAGUGGAACCAUUUUCCAAAUUUUCGGUGAAAGCUAAAGAUGUUAAGGAUAUACCUAAUUGCGUUGUUCAGGUUCUUGAUCGGGCCGUUGCUGGCCGCCCCGGUGGAUGCUAUUUGGAUCUUCCAUCUGAUGUUUUGCAUCAAACUGUGACGGAAUCUGAGGCGGAGAGUUUGGUAACUGCUGCCUUGAAUUCUUCAGAAUCGAAACCAAUUGCAAAUGGGAGUGAGGUUCCAACCUCAGAAAUUGAGCGAGCCGUGGAGUUGCUCAGGAAAGCAGAGAGGCCUCUUAUUGUGUUUGGAAAAGGGGCAUCAUAUGCACGAACAGAGAAUGAACUGAGGAAGUUAGUUGAAACCACUGGAGUCCCAUUCUUGCCUACUCCAAUGGGAAAAGGCUUGUUGCCUGAUACCCAUGAGCUUGCAGCAGGUGCAGCAAGGUCGCUUGCUAUUGGUAAAUGUGAUGUCGCACUUGUGGUUGGCGCUAGGCUUAAUUGGCUGUUGCACUUUGGAGAGCCUCCCAAGUGGUCUAAGGACGUGAAAUUUAUAUUGGUGGAUGUGUGUAAGGAUGAGAUUGAGCUAAGGAAACCACAUUUGGGUUUGAUCGGGGACGCAAAAAAGGUUUUGGAAUUGAUCAAUAAGGAGAUCAAGGACGAUCCUUUUUGUUUGGCGAAGAGUCAUCCAUGGGCGGAGGCAAUUUCCAAGAAAGCAAAGGAGAAUGUGUCAAGAAUGGAGGCUCAGUUGGCGAAGGAUGUUGUGCCAUUUAAUUUCUUGACGCCUAUGAGGAUUAUUAGAGAUGCCAUUUUGGGAGUGGGGAGCCCUGCUCCAAUAGUGGUGUCAGAGGGGGCUAAUACGAUGGAUGUUGGGAGAGCUGUGUUGGUACAGACAGAGCCUAGGACUAGGUUGGAUGCUGGCACUUGGGGGACAAUGGGGAUUGGGUUGGGUUAUUGCAUUGCAGCGGCAGUUGCUGAGCCUAAUCGACUUGUAGUUGCAGUUGAAGGUGACUCUGGAUUUGGGUUCAGUGCCAUGGAAGUUGAGGUGUGCACUAUUAUAAUUUCUUUAUGCUUCUUCAUUGCUUUAGCAUUCUCAUUUGAUGUUCUUUUUACUUUUCUGUUCGGGUUAAUGAAUGACAAAAAAUCCGAACUUUUCCUACAAUUAGCACUGUCUAUUUAAACUAAUAGUGAUAGUCACUUGUGACUCUCUUUGGGGUAAUAUUAUCUUUGUUUAAUAAUAUUGUCCAAGCUAUUAUCUUAAAUAGACAG